GGUAUGGUGUAGUGGUUAGCAUAACUAUGAUUAGUAUUAUAUGAUGCAAUUUGGAAUUAUUUUGGAGGUCCCGAGUUCGACUCUCGGUCGGCCG